rfam:Danio rerio chromosome 4, GRCz11 reference primary assembly.
GCAUUGGUGGUUCAAUGGUAGAAUUCUCGCCUGCCACGCGGGAGACCCGGGUCCGAUUCCCGGCCAAUGCA